rnacentral:rRNA from 1 species
AAAGAUUAAGCCAUGCAUGUCCAAGUACAAGCCGAACUAAGGUGAAACCGCGAAUGGCUCAUUAAAUCACACCUGAUACACUGGACGUUCCCAGUUACUUGGCAUAACUGCGGUAAUUCUGGAGCUAAUACAUGCAUCCCAGCCCCGAACGCAAGUGAGGGGCGCUUUUAUUAGACCAAGACCAAACGCCCUCGGGCGUCCCCUGGUGACUCUGAAUAACUUUUGGCGGAUCGCACGAAUUCACUUCGGCGACGCGUCCUUCUAAGGUGUGCCCUAUCAACUUUCGACUGU